GAUGAAGAACGCAGCGAAAUGCGAUAAAUAAUGUGAAUUGCAGAAUUCAGUGAAUCAUCGAGUCUUUGAACGCACAUUGCGCCCCCUGGUAUUCCGGGGGGCAUGCCUGUCCGAGCGUCAUUGCUGCCCUCAAGCACGGCUUGUGUGUUGGGCCCCCGUCCCCCCCUCCCGGGGGACGGGCCCGAAAGGCAGCGGCGGCACCGCGUCCGGUCCUCGAGCGUAUGGGGCUUUGUCACCCGCUCUGUAGGCCCGGCCGGCGCCCGCCGGCGACCCCCCUCAAUCUUUCCAGGUUGACCUCGGAUCAGGUAGGGAUACCCGCUGAACUUAAGCAUAUCAAUAAGCGGAGGA
rnacentral:misc_RNA from 1 species